rnacentral:lncRNA from 1 species
CUAUUGGACAUUUUCUCUGAUCAACUGCCCAGAGAUUGUGAAUUUCUAUCCUGCUCUGUCAUGGCCCACAUAGCACCUGAGAUGGGUGUGACCUGCCAAAAUGUCAAUCAACCUGCUGACUGCAAGACAUCAGGAAGCAAGACUCUGCCCUUGAAACCUUAUCCCUGCCUUUGAUGUACCCCCUUAAAUAAACCACUGGAGCCAUCUUUCUUUUGUCUAGAUCCAGCACCCAUGUGACUAG